rnacentral:rRNA from 1 species
AGUCGACGGUAAAACGGAGGGUGCAAGCGUUAAUCGGAAUUACUGGGCGUAAAGCGCACGCAGGCGGUUUGUUAAGUCAGAUGUGAAAUCCCCGAGCUUAACUUGGGAACUGCAUUUGAAACUGGCAAGCUAGAGUCUUGUAGAGGGGGGUAGAAUUCCAGGUGUAGCGGUGAAAUGCGUAGAGAUCUGGAGGAAUACCGGUGGCGAAGGCGGCCCCCUGGACAAAGACUGACGCUCAGGUGCGAAAGCGUGGGGAGCAAACAGGAUUAGAUACCCGCGUAGUCCCUGUCUCUUAUACACA